rnacentral:rRNA from 1 species
AGAGUUUGAUCCUGGCUCAGAACGAACGCUGGCGGCAGGCUUAACACAUGCAAGUUGAACGGGAACAUACGAUAGCUUGCUAUAGUAUGUGAGAGUGGCGCACGGGUGAGUAAUACAUGGGAACAUACCUUAAAGUGGGGGAUAACUUCUGGAAACGGAUGCUAAUACCGCAUAUACCCUGAGGGGGAAAGAUUUAUCGCUUUAAGAUUGGCCCAUGGCAGAUUAGGUAGUUGGUGGGGUAAAGGCCUACCAAGCCGACGAUCUGUAGCUGGUCUGAGAGGACGAUCAGCCACAUUGGGACUGAGACACGGCCCAGACUCCUACGGGAGGCAGCAGUGAGGAAUAUUGGGCAAUGGGGGCAACCCUGACCCAGCCAUGCCGCGUGAGUGAAGAAGGUUUUCGAAUUGUAAAGCUCUUUCGGAUGUGACGAUGAUGACGGUAGCAUCUAAAGAAGCCCCGGCAAACUUCGUGCCAGCAGCCGCGGUAAUACGAAGGGGGCGAGCGUUGUUCGGAAUUACUGGGCGUAAAGGGUGUGUAGGUGGACGUGUAAGAUAGCGGUGAAAUGCCGGAGCUCAACUUCGGAAUUGCCAUUAUAACUAUGCGUCUAGAAUUAUAGAGAGGAUAGCGGAAUACCCAGUGUAGAGGUGAAAUUCGUAGAUAUUGGGUAGAACACCAGUGGCGAAGGCGGCUAUCUGGCUAUAUAUUGACACUGAGGCACGAAAGCAUGGGGAUCAAACAGGAUUAGAUACCCUGGUAGUCCAUGCCGUAAACGAUGAAUGCUGGUUGUCGGACGAAUGUUCGGUGACGAAGUUAACGCGAUAAGCAUUCCGCCUGGGGAGUACGGCCGCAAGGUUAAAACUCAAAGGAAUUGACGGGGACCCGCACAAGCGGUGGAGCAUGUGGUUUAAUUCGAUGCAACGCGAAGAACCUUACCUGGUCUUGACAUCCACGGAAGUUUUCAGAGAUGAGAAUGUGCCUUCGGGAACCGUGAGACAGGUGCUGCAUGGCUGUCGUCAGCUCGUGUUGUGAAAUGUUGGGUUAAGUCCCGCAACGAGCGCAACCCUUAUCCUUUGUUGCCAGCGGUCCGGCCGGGAACUCAAAGGAGACUGCCAGUGAUAAACUGGAGGAAGGUGGGGAUGACGUCAAGUCAUCAUGGCCCUUACGACCAGGGCUACACACGUGCUACAAUGGCGCAUACAAAGAGAAGCGACCUCGCGAGAGCAAGCGGACCUCAUAAAGUGCGUCGUAGUCCGGAUUGGAGUCUGCAACUCGACUCCAUGAAGUCGGAAUCGCUAGUAAUCGUGGAUCAGAAUGCCACGGUGAAUACGUUCCCGGGCCUUGUACACACCGCCCGUCACACCAUGGGAGUGGGUUGCAAAAGAAGUAGGUAGCUUAACCUUCGGGAGGGCGCUUACCACUUUGUGAUUCAUGACUGGGGUGAAGUCGUAACAAGGUAACCGUAGGGGAACCUGCGGUUG